GCACACACUUGGCCUCAGUCGUGUCUGAAUGCUACCACGGGUUUUCGUGUUCUUUCCAUACAUUUUAACGUACCACAAAGUUAAAUUUGCAAACAAGGAAACAGAGUAGAAUAAGUCAAAAUAUAUUGUAUAACAGAAAAAAACGCAAAUUAAUUACAAUUUUAAUCGAAAUCAGCAGGAGCCUCCAACUUCACGUCCUACUCCACCAAAUUCCGAAUUUGUAAAAUAAUAUGUCUAAAGACAGUGAGUAACAGAAACCACAAUGUGCAGUGAAAGUGAGUUUUACACAAAAACUUUACACAAUAUAAGUAUAUAAGUAUAUAAGUAUUUAUGUAUUAUUUUUAUGGAUGCACAAAAAGCACCGAAUUAAACUACAGUCCUUAAUUAAUAAUAUAUAUUCUGGUGUGUGUGUGUGUGUGUGUGUGUGUGUGUGUGCGUGUGCGUGUGUGUGUGUAUUGGGUUCUUUUCUGUUUUGGACAAACAGCUGUGUAAAGUUUUAAUCUGAAGUAUAUAUUUGGAACACUCAGCUUGUGGAUUUUAUUUUAAAUAAACAAAAAAAUGGUACUGAAAGUUUGCCCCGCCCCAUAUAAUUAAUUAAUUAAUUGAUUAAUUAAUUAAUUAAUAAUAAAAAUAGUAAUAAUAAUAAUAAUAAUAAUAGGCCAACUAAUUUAGUAUGAAAAUCGUUAGUUGCAGCCCUAACACACACACACACACACACACACACACACACACACACACACAUAUUUUCUCUUCAGUUCUGCUCCAUAGUCUCUUCUUUUGUUCCCUGUUGUCUUGUAUAAAUGCAAAAUGAAAAUAAAGACAGUCAACUGUUGGAAAACUGUUUUUUGAUGUGUGUGUGUGAGAGAGAGAGUUUGUGUUUAAAAUGCCAGGUUCUAUGUUAUUGUACCCAUCACAGGACUUGGAUAUGCUGCUUCAUCUUGAACCCAGGUUUUAUAUCAUAUAAACAGAACAGACAGACUUUCAAGGAGAGGAGUGAAUUUUUUCCAUGUAGUCUGAGGUUCAGAAUUUUCACUUCAUUUUAAUCAGAUCCAAAGUAACCAGUAACUUGCUACUUGAGUCUUCUCAUUGGAUACUAUAUUACUCUUACUCUAGUAAUUAUUAACAUUUUACUUUUACUACAGCUUCAUUCCUUUCACCAGUAAUAAAUUACAACAUCUUGGAGAAGUGCUUCCCAUGCUUAACUGCAUCUCUUGAAUUUUUUGAAACAUAGAGUGAAUUAUUAUUAUUUUUUGCUCACAGGAGAAUUAUCUGGUUGUGCUGGGUGCUUGCUGAUUUCAGAUUAAGAUGUGUGUAUGUAAAAUGACUGACUGAAGGCCCAUCCAAAGCACUCUGGAUCAUAAGGCAGUUUUCUAAACAUUUUCUCAGCCACAUGAUACACUCAUGCUGAGGCUUAAACCGUUAUUUUUUUCCUACUAUUUUUUUAAAUAGGUUAUUAGUACUAGUAAUAUUUUUUUUUAAUAUACUACAGCACCUUUAAUGAUUUCUGAAAGGUCAUUAACCCUCUCAAGGUUUUCUUCUUAAAAUUAUAAAAGUUAGACAUGCUCACAAAAACAUUUUUGUGACUGACGUGCUUGGCAAGUCCUGGUAUAAGUAAAAGAUUAGCUUGUACUUUUCCAGUCCUGUGGUAUAACAUUAAGCUCAUUUAGCUGGCUAACGAUUAACACAGUGCACUGACUCACAGCAAGCAUGUUCUAGAGGUGAAGGAUAAUUAUUCCGCAGUAAUAGAAAUGAGAAUAGGGCUGGAGAAAGAGUGGCAUAAAAAUCAUUUUCUUGGCAUAAACAAGAUAUAUAUUUUAAUAUCUCUUCUGUGUCAUCAAGUCACCAUUCCGAUUUUGAUUCACAUCAAAGUCGAUCCCAAAAGUAGAUUCACUGAUUCCACACAUCAGUGAAUCUCCAAGUGUCGGAUUUGAUUCUACACACCAAAACUGAUCCGCAAAGGAAAACAAAUUUUGUAUGCAAGGUUUUGUGAUGAAAAGAGGAAACACAUCUAACCUUUUAAAGCAACUUAAAGACCGACACCUGAAUUUAUUCAAGGAGUUCAAGCAGCAGCAGGCUGAGGAGGGUGUUCAGCAUGAAAGACCCCAGCAAACAUACACACAGACAACAGUUGCUGAAGCUUUUCUGCGACAACUAAAAUACGACAAAAAUUCACCUGAAGCAAGAAAACUGAACCAAGCUGUUGCAGAAUUCAUGUAUGGAUGUCUAUAUGGUUGUAUAUGUAUGGAUGUCUAUACGGCAAAUUCUAAAGCACUUCAACCCAAAGUUCCGGCUUCCAAGCCAAAACUUUUUAAUGUACACUGAGAUUCCCCCCAUCUACAUUGAAACCAGAGACCUCAUAAUCCAACAUCUCAGAGAGAAACCAUUUUAGAGCUGCACAGCUGAUCUGUGGACAAGCAGAGCUGCAGACACUUUCAUGUCUGUAACUCUGCAGUACAUAACUAAAUCAUGAGACAUGCAAUACUGGUGUCUUGGAUGUUGUGGUCUCAACACAGGUCACACAGCUGAGUUUGAAGGAGGCCUUUGAAGAGAAAGUUGAAGAUUGGCAGUUGGACAUUGCACGAAUGGUAGGCAUCACACCAGAUAAUGCCAGAAAAAAGCCUUUGAGGACUACACAUGGAUUCCUUGUUUUGGACACAAUCUCCACUGUGCUGUGAAUAAAGCAAUAGAGCUAAACAGGAAUUUUUUCUUAUGAUAUAGUGGAACAUUUUUUGGAGCAGCAACAGGUUGUCUGUGCUGUACUGGCUGAAGAUCGAAAGAAAUGGCAUCUGAUGCCAAAAGACUCAGACAUUACAGUUUUAUAAACUGUAAAAGCAGUUCUUGAGCCACUCAGUCCUUUCACAGAUGCACUUAGUGGUGACAAACAUACCACCCUGUCCUCAGACUUGCCAUUAAAUUUGGAAGACAUUUAAAUGACUCAGUCAUGAACAAAGUGACUCUGCUUUAGCCCAGGAGAUGAAGGAAAAGAUAAGUGAGUAUCACAAUGAUGACACGCAGCUUGAGCCAAGGUUUAAGGACAGCUUUGAUUCUCUUAAAAUGAACCUGACUAUGAAGAUUUGUAGGCCUUAACAUGCAAUAAUUACUCUCUCCUACUAAAAUAUGUUGUUAGAAACACAUUAAAUAUGUUCAUUACUUUAAAAAUCCUUAAUAUUUAAUAUAUAUUUUAAACUACGGAGGCCACCAUUACGUGACAUACACAGUGCACUCUGAGUCAAUGAAUUAAAAUGGUUGCACUUGAGCACUCAAAAAAAUUAGCUACUAGCCCUCGCAGCAGGAAAAGAAUGCCACACUGUGCUGCUUUUGGCUGUAAUUUUUAAGUUGCAAGUUCUUGUGUACUGUGAUAGAGGGGAUAUCUGUAAAUACAAUCAAACCCGUCAGCAUCUUGUUAGUGCAUUUUUACCCUAAAACACCUAGAAUGCAAUGCAACGUAAACAGCAGUGGCGGUCUACGACUGCAAGUAUUUUUAUUUAUUAAAUUUUUUUAACUGACAUUUAGAGUGUUUUUGUAUAGCGGAUUUAUAUAACAGAUGUCAGUGUUAAUCUAAUAAGCCAUACAAGUCUUCAUAGUCGGGGUUCCCUUUAAGGAUGAAGUGAAGCAAAGUCUCCUGGAUGAGGUGAGGAAAUUGGACAAUGAUGGAAGUGCAACACAGAUGUCUGCAUUUUUAGAUGCAUUUUGUCCAGCAAUAAAAAUCCAUAUCAUGGCACUGCAUUGCACUGGAAUUCAUUUUAAUACCAUUAUACCUCCUAGCCCUAAGAGCUUUAUCCUUUGAUCCGUUUCCUAUUAAAACUAAUAUGUGAACUUGUGUGGGAUUAUGGUUGCGGAGUUGUGUAUAAAUGGCUUAAUGUUAUGACGCAAAGACAUGAAACACAGAUGCAAAAUGAGCCACUGGAAAUAAAGAACACAAGCAACAGACACCAACAAUUUAAAGUGAAAGAGACCGAGAGAAAGUGUGACUAAGUUGGAUGAGGAAAGAAGAGG